rnacentral:rRNA from 1 species
GGAGGGUGCAAGCGUUGUUCGGAAUUACUGGGCGUAAAGCGCGCGUAGGCGGCCUCUUAUGUCGGGUGUGAAAGCCCUCGGCCCAACCGAGGAAGUGCGCCCGAAACUGAGAGGCUUGAGUACGAGAGAGGAGGACGGAAUUCCUAGUGUAGAGGUGAAAUUCGUAGAUAUUAGGAAGAACACCGGUGGCGAAAGCGGUUCUCUGGAUCGAUACUGACGCUAAGGCGCGAAAGCGUGGGGAGCAAACAGGAUUAGAUACCCUGGUAGUCCACGCCGUAAACGAUGGAUAUUAGUUGUUGCGAGCUUAUAAACUCGCAGUGACGACGCUAACGCAUUAAAUAUCCCGCCUGGGGACGACGGCCGCAAGGUUA